UACAGAGGUCUCAAGCGUUGUUCGGAUUCAUUGGGCGUAAAGGGUGCGUAGGCGGCGCGGUAAGUCGGGUGUGAAAUCUCGGAGCUUAACUCCGAAACUGCAUUCGAUACUGCCGUGCUUGAGGACUGGAGAGGAGACUGGAAUUUACGGUGUAGCGGUGAAAUGCGUAGAUAUCGGAAGGAACACCAGUGGCGAAAGCGGCUUCCUGGUCCAGCACCGACGUCAGGCACGAAAGCGUGGGGAGCAAACAGGG
rnacentral:rRNA from 1 species